AUAAAUAAUUGUAAAUAUUAAAGGUCUUAAAUUCUUAGGAAUUUUAUUGGAAAACAAAAAGGUACACUUGAUUAUUGGCAAAAAGAUUUAGAACCUGAUUGAGAUUGUCAUUUAAAUUACUUUUGAAAAUAUUAUUAAAAAAUUAACCAUUUCAGAGUUUUUAAGACUAAAACACACAAAAUUUAAUUUAAAAUUAAUAUUUAAUAAUCGGUAAAAAGACAUGAUUUUCAAUAAAAAUUAAAAGCUAACAAUGAUGACUUACAUAGAAGGCAACACAUAUCCCGG
rnacentral:misc_RNA from 1 species